rnacentral:rRNA from 1 species
CUUGCUUAAAUAUAAGAGGUCCAGCCUGCCCAGUGACACAGUUCAACGGCCGCGGUAUCCUAACCGUGCGAAGGUAGCGUAAUCACUUGUUCUUUAAAUGGGGACUAGUAUGAAUGGCAUCACGAGGGUUGAACUGUCUCCUUUCUCUAAUCAGUGAAACUAAUCUCCCCGUGAAGAAGCGGGAAUUAUUUUAUAAGACGAGAAGACCCUAUGGAGCUUAAAACAAAUUGACAUCUGCUUCCACUUACUUCAAUUCCUGAACAAUUACACAAAAUACAGCAUCAUUGAUCAAUAGUUUUAGAUUGGGGUGAUCAUGGAGCAAAAAACAACCUCCACGACGAAAAGGAAUAUCCCCUGAGCCAAAAGCCACAACUUUAAGCACUAAAAAAUUAACGCACCUUGACCCAAUUUUUUGAGCAACGAAC